rnacentral:rRNA from 1 species
AUUGAACGCUGGCGGCAUGCCUUACACAUGCAAGUCGAACGGCAGCGGGGGAGAAGCUUGCUUUUCCUGCCGGCGAGUGGCGAACGGGUGAGUAAUACAUCGGAACGUGCCCUGUAGUGGGGGAUAACUAGUCGAAAGAUUAGCUAAUACCGCAUACGACCUGAGGGUGAAAGUGGGGGACCGCAAGGCCUCAUGCUAUAGGAGCGGCCGAUGUCUGAUUAGCUAGUUGGUGGGGUAAAGGCCUACCAAGGCGACGAUCAGUAGCUGGUCUGAGAGGACGAUCAGCCACACGGGGACUGAGACACGGCCCAGACUCCUACGGGAGGCAGCAGUGGGGAAUUUUGGACAAUGGGCGAAAGCCUGAUCCAGCAAUGCCGCGUGUGUGAAGAAGGCCUUCGGGUUGUAAAGCACUUUUGUCCGGAAAGAAAUGGCUCUGGUUAAUACCUGGGGUCGAUGACGGUGCCGGAAGAAUAAGGACCGGCUAACUACGUGCCAGCAGCCGCAGUAAGAC